AAUAUCCGAAUAUUCGAAUAUCCGAAUAUUCGAAUACUCGAAUACUCGAAUAGUCGAAUAUUCGAAUAGUCGAAUACUCGAAUACUCGAAUAUUCGA
rnacentral:pre_miRNA from 13 species